AGAGACAGCAGUAGCCACGGUAAUACGGAGGGGGCUAGCGUUGUUCGGAAUUACUGGGCGUAAAGCGCACGUAGGCGGCUUUGUAAGUUAGAGGUGAAAGCCCGGAGCUCAACUCCGGAAUUGCCUUUAAGACUGCAGAGCUAGCAGGUGAGAGAGGUGAGUGGAAUUCCGAGUGUAGAGGUGAAAUUCGUAGAUAUUCGGAAGAACACCAGUGGCGAAGGCGGCUCACUGGCUCAUACUGGACGCUGAGGUGCGAAAGCGUGGGGAGCAAACAGGAUUAGAUACCCGCGUAGUCCCUGUCUCUUAUAC
rnacentral:rRNA from 1 species